ACAACAUCUGGAUUUAACUUUGGAAGCUGAGAGUGGAGCUGGAUCAGACAGGCUCCAGGAAAAGGGCUGGAGUGGAUUGCUUAUAUAGAUAUACCUAGUACUCCUAUCUUUUAUUCCCAGUCUGUCCAGGGUAGAUUCACCAUCUCCAGAGAUGACUCCAGCAGUAAAGUCUAUCUACAGAUGAACAAUCUGAAGGCCGAGGACACAGCAGUGUAUUACUGUGCCAGAUAGUACGCACCGUAGCCAGAGACAACAAGAGAAAGCAGCUGUAUCAGCAGACGAAGAUUCUGCAGACUGUUUUUGAUCUCGACACCCACAGCUUGGCAGCUGUAAUUAUCUCAGACAAUAUUUUAGUUUUAUUGGUUGUGAUGAAAACCACUAAGACUGCUGAAACCAUCCAGAGAUACUGGACCAUCACACACAGUUAAACAAGAUGGACUGUAGGACAUUGAUGCUGCUUUUGACUGUCUGCUAUGCAGAGGUGUUUGAGCAGAAUCCAACUCUUAAAGUUCUUUCCUCCUUUAUUGAGGACGGUACCUAUACUGCCUCCUGCUUUGCCAAAGAGUUUGCACCAAAGAAACAUGAGAUCAAAUGGCUGAAAAAUGGAGCAGACAUCACGAGCAAAAUAGAUUUGAUCACUACAGUUUCUGAAUCAAGAAAGGCAGAUGGAAAGAAAGUGUACAACGCAGCAAGUUUUCUCACUGUAAAUUCCAGUGAUGUGAAUGAAGAUACUGAAUUCACUUUUAUCUUUGAAUAAAAGUGACAGAGACAACACACUAGAUGUUUCCACAACUGCGAAUCCGACAAACGGGCCAACAGUGACAGUCCACAUCCCCCUCCAGCUGCACAUUGACCAGUUAAAUCCUCAAGAUGAAAUCACUCUGGUGUGUCUCGUCACCAGUACUGUGAAUAAGAUGUAUAAAAUCAAAUGGUCAGAAAGUAAUGGAAGAAAUCCUGGACGUUAUGUUACAGGCACCAACAUCCGUGCACAUCAGAGCAAAAAUGACAAAAAAUGGCGAAGUAUGAGUCUUUACACCACCAGUAAGGAAAACUGGUACAAAAAAGAUCCAGCCAAAACGUUCACCUGCCAUGUCCGAUCUGAACAUAUUUCAAUAACAGUGUCCAGCAGCCCUGGUAAUUCCGAUGAAUGUGAACAUAAAUAAUAAGCUUUAAAUGUGAUAUUUUCUGCUUGCGUCAUUCUUUGUCUGUGAUAGUUUUCUAAAUGAAAACCUGUGCACUUGUGAUGUCAGUCACCGUGAGAGAAAAUCAAUGCUUUUUGUUGUCAUCAUGUUGUUCUUCAGUCUGUGUGAGUCACAGUGUCUAAUUGCUUGAUAUGUGUGCUGUAUGUUUGAAAUAAAUGUUGCAUGGAGACUC